GACGAACGCUGGCGGCGUGCCUAACACAUGCAAGUCAACUUGACUGAAGGAGCAAUCUGACAGUAGAGUGGCGCAAGGGUGCGUAACGCGUAAGUAACUUGCCCCAAGGUAAGGAAUAACGUCGAGAAAUCGGCGCUAAUACCUCAUAAUGCAGCGGAUCCGCAUGGACAUGUUGUUAAAGGUUUACCGCCUUGGGAUAGGCUUGCGUCUGAUUAGCUAGUUGGUGUGGUAAACGGCACACCAAGGCUACGAUCAGUAACUGGUCUGAGAGGAUGAUCAGUCACACUGGAACUGAGACACGGUCCAGACUCCUACGGGAGGCAGCAGUGAGGAAUAUUGGGCAAUGCUCGAAAGAAG
rnacentral:rRNA from 1 species